rnacentral:lncRNA from 1 species
AGGAAGCAAACAAACUUAAAAUAAAUCAACCGUGAAAUGAGAGGGUUAAAACUUGAUAACAUUAUAACUAGAAAAACACAUAAUAUUCCAGAUCAUGUUGAAAAUAGGGGGAUGAUCAACCUAGUUGAAGUCUUCAAGAUAUUGUCACUCCCUAGCAUAACAACAACAUCUGACAUGGUUGGUCUGUAUGUUGCAUUUUCUUGAACGCACAACAAAGCAAUGUGUAUGCACUUCUCAACUUCACUGCCUUUGAAGGAUUUUUCCAGCAUUGGAUUCCAAACAUUUUCGCUCACAAGUUCUUCAAGCCUACAAAUAUUUGUCAUUAAUUUGUGAAUAAUAUUGUUCUGAACUCCAAAGUUGAAAACAUCAGAUUUCACUGAAAACAAUCCUUGCAUAGCGUACUCAGAGCCAUAUAUCCACUAAUUCAAAACAAUAGAGCUUUGUUUAUUUUAUUUUUUUUUAUCAGCAAUGAAUAAAUAAAAUUAAAGGGGAUACUUCAGGGGUAUCCCAACCCAUAUACAGUAACCAGAAGUGGACUUCCUAUAUCAUCCACAAACGAAACUCUCCUUUAUAGUUGGAGCAGACCAACCUUAAAGUGAGAAAACCAUACCCAAAAAAUAACCAACAUCGGCGACCACCGACUACACAUAUGGAGAACGUCGUUUCAUCAAUCAGCGAUCAUGUUGACAGAACGUCGCUUCAUCAACCUGCAAUCAUGUUGACCUUUGCAUACCUACGGUGACCACCGACUACACACAAUAGAGCUUUGUUAAUUUUUUUCUCUGGAGUAUGCAUUCACAAGUCCUACUGAUAAAAUAUGUUUGGUAUAAGUAAAACUCACUAAGUGCUCAUUACUCGCUUUGUAUUUGCUUGGUUCUGUCCAAUUUCAAAUGCCCUUACCAAUCCAAAUUGCUAGCUUUGAGAUCUCUAUGAAUUACUCUGAGUCGAGAGUCCUCAUGAAGGUAUAAAAGACCUCUUGCUAUUCCACUGAUAAUGCUUAAUCUUAGUUUCCAAUCAAGUUGUUUUCUUUUCUCAUCAUCUGUCAACUCAAAAAGAUAAAAGGGAUUUGAACAUUAGAAGCCAUUUAGUAAAACACCAAAUGCUAAGUAUUUGCCUUACACAGGAAAAAACAUACCAACAGAUAAUAUAGCAUUUCCCCCUUAAAAAUAUGACUUAUAAGUUAUAACAUGGUAUAACUUUAGUUUAGUUUCAUGUUAUGAAAGGAAAACAAAAUGUAUUAACCUCUUUGGGUAUUUUGCAUAAUAAUAUAUAUGUACCAGAACGACAACUAACUAAUUUAUAUUAGAGUGUAAGUUGGAAGUCUUUAAUUUUGUAAAAAUGGGUAAAAGAGCAAGGAGAAAAGAUCCACAUAAGUGUUGAUUAUAUAUAUCUCUCUAUUUGAAAAUAACUAAUUUAUAUUAGAGUGUAAGUUGGAAGUCUUUAAUUUUGUAAAAAUGGGUAAAAGAGAAAGGAGAAAAGAUCCACCUAAGUGUUGUUUAUAUAUAACUCUAUUUGAAAAUAUUUUGAAGUCGAAUAAAAUUUUGUGAAAAACUUAGACAAAGAACUAUUUUCAGAUAGUUAUAAUUCUGAGUUUGAAAACCGAGUUCUUAGAACUUUCUUUUGUAAUCUUGGAAAACAUUGAGUUAAUGAAGAAGUGCUCAUCUAAUUUGAUUUCAGUUUAGGUGUAAUAAUUUGGGUGAUAUACUCUUCCUGUAUUUUGGUUUUUAGGUAGAUUGCAAGUGUUUAUGUUGAAUAGGGUGUUUAGUGUAUGUUAUGUAGUAGGGAGUUCUAUGCCUUUUUUCCUAAAAUUUCACGUAAAAAUCUCGACUGAAAUUGGGACAAAACGCGAUAAAUUUCAAGUCAAACGGAUGAGUAUUCGCUUGGGAAAAAAUCAUGCAGUUUUACACAUAAACAAACCUUCCUUUCAGCCCUGGCAGCGAUGAACAAAAAAUUUGUUGAAAUUUUGGGCUCAAAUCUCAGCCAAAACUCAAUAGACACAAUGAGGAAUGUCUGGUCAAAAUUUCAGACCAAAAUACCCAAGGAGUAAGGCGUAGUAAGUCUCAGACUGAGAGCAAACACAAUUGGUUUUUUGAAAAAUAAAACGUCCUGGCUUUUCUACACCGUAUCUUCUUUUCGUGAUUUGUUUAUGGAUGUGCCUCCUUAAUUGGGUGCAAACAACAUAUGAAAGCACUUGUGUGAACUUUUUCAACGCAAUACGGACCCAGAAUCAAAUUGUAGGAAAUAUGGCCAAAUUUCCCAAGUUUUCGUAGAGAGCCUUGGUUUGCACAAAAUUUUUGAAAAAUUUUCCCGAAAUAGUUUUUUCAUGAAAUUCCACGUAAGAAUAUCAAAUGAAUUUGGGACAAAAUGCGACAAAUUUCAGAUCAAGUAGAUGAAUAUUCACCUGUGAAAAAAAUCAAGCAGUUUCACACACAAACGAACCUUCCUUUCAGCCCUUGCAGUGAUGACCAAAAAUUUUAUUGCAAAUCUUGUGGGACGAAUUUGAAGCUCAAAUCUCAGCCAAAACUCAAUAGAUACAAUGACGAAUGUCUGGUAAAAAUUUCAUACCAAAAUACCCAAGCAGUAAAACGUAGUAAGUCUCAGACUGAGAGCAAACCAAACUAGUUUUCCAAAAACAAAAUGUCCUGGCUUUUCUUCCCCGUAUCUUCUUUUCGUGAUUUGUUUAUGGAUGUGUCUCCUUACCUGCGUGCAAACAACACAUCAAAGCACUUGUGUGAACUUUUCAACGCAAUACGGACCCAGAAUAAAAUUGCAGAAAGUAGGGCCAAAUUUCACAAGUUUUGGUAUUGGUGAGUCUCGGUUUGCACAAAGAUUGUUAAAAAUUGUUUCGAAAUAGUUUUUUCGUGAAAUUCCACGUAAGAAUCUCGACUUAAUUUGGGACAAUACGCGACAAAUUUCAAGUCAAACGGAUGAGUAUUCGGUUCGGCUGGGAAAAUAUCAAGUAGUUUCACACACAAACGAACAUUCCUUUCACCCCUGGCAAUGAUGAACAAAAAAUUUAUUGCAUAUCUUGUGGGACGAAUUUUGGGCUCAAAUCUCAUCCAAAACUCAAUAGACAUAAUGACGAAUGUCUGGUAAAAAUUUCAAACCAAAAUACGCAAGGAGUAAGACGUUGUAAGUCUCAAACUGAGAGCCAACAAAACUGGUUUUCCGAAAAAAAAACGUCCUGGCUUUUCUUCCCCGUAUCUUCUUUUCGUGAUUUGUUUAUGGACAUGCCUCCUUACCUAGGUGUAAACAACAUAUGAAAGUACUUGUGUGAACUUUUUCAAUGCAAUACGGACCCAAAAUAAAAUUGCAUAAAAUAGGGCCAAAUUUCACAAGGUUUCGUAAAGGAUAGCCUUGGUUUGCUAAAAUUUUCUGAAAAAUUAUCCCAAAAUAGUUUUUUCUGAAAUUCCACGUAAGAAUCUCGACUGAAUUUUGGACGAAACACGACAAAUUUCAAGUCAAACGGAUGAAUAUUCGUCUGGGAAAAAAAUCAAGCAGUUUCACACAUUAACGAACCUUCCUUUCUGCCCCGGCAGUGAUGAACAAAAAAUUUAUUGCAAAUCUUGUGGGACGAAUUUGGGGCUCAAGUCUCAGCCAAAACUCAAUAGACACAAUGAAGAAUGUCUCGUAAAAAUUUCAAACCAAAAUACCCAAGGAAUAAAGGGCGUAGUAAGUCUCAGACUGAGAACAAACAAAAUUGAUUUUCCAAAAAUAAAACAUUCUGACUUUCCUUAUAUAUCUCAAUUCCAAGUAGUUGAGUUUGGAUAAUGUUUUGAAAAUAUCUCAACUCCUUAUAUUAAAUCCAAGGAACCUUAAUUUUGUCUGAACUCUCAUAUAAAUUUUUAAUCAUAGUAUAAAUAAUAAAUCAAUAAAUAUCUUAGAUAUACUAAAACCAAAAUUCCUUAAUGAUACAGUUAAAGUUAUGUUAAAAUGGUGACGGAAUUUAUUUAAGGAGGACAAAAUUUAAAGCAUUAAUACGAUAUGUUUCUUUUUAAUAUAUAUGUCUAUAUAGAAUUGAAUUUAAAGUGUAAUAAAAUGAGAAUAUUAUAGAAAAUAAUAUAAAAUUCUUUAGUACAAAUUAAAUUUAAAUUUAUAAGAAUAACUUUGAUUUUUUUUUAAAUGACAGAAUUUCAAAUUUUAUAUAGAAUUUUAAAAUUUUGAUAAUUUAUCAUUUUGACAUUGUUUUGUUCAAAUCAUGAAAGUUGAGUUUUCUGUCAGACGGUAUGUUUUUAGUUAUAUUUUUGUUUUUUUUAUCAAUAAAAAAAUUAAAUGAAUUAAAAAUGGGAGCACUUGACGUUUUGGUUUAGAUAAGUUAUAAGAUUAAAUGCAAUUUUCUCACAAUAACCUGCUCUGUUUAUUCAGAGUUUCAGCCACAACAGAUUAAAGGUGUUGCAUAAUAAAAACUUGAUUAUUUCAAUGAGGAAGCAAACAAACUUAAAAUAAAUCAACCGUGAAAUGAGAGGGUUAAAACUUGAUAACAUUAACUAAAAACACACAUAAUGUUCCAGAUCAUGUUGAAAAUAGGGGGAUGAUCAACCUAGUUGAAGUCUUCAAGAUAUUGUCACUCCCUAGCAUAACAACAUCUGACAUGGUUUGUCUGUAUGUUGCAUUUUCUUGAACACACAACAAAGCAAUGAGUAUGCACUUCUCAACUUCACUGCCUUUGAAGGAUUUUUCCAUCAUUGGAUCCAUCAAUUCCAAACAUUUUCCCUCACACCAUGUUCUCCAAGCCUACAAGUAUUUUUCAUUAAUUUGUGAAUAAUAU